rnacentral:rRNA from 1 species
CAAUAGCGUAUAUUAAAGUUGUUGCGGUUAAAAGCUCGUAGUUGGAGUUCUGCCAGGUGCCGCCUGUCCGCCCCAGUGGUGAGUACGUGGCGCGCAUUUGGCCCUUUCAAGGGGAGCGUAUCUGCACUUUAUUGUGUGGUGCGGGAUCCUUGACUUUUACUUUGAGGAAAUAGGAGUGUUCCAAGCAGGCUCUCGUCGUGCACAGCUCAGCAUGGAAUAAUAGCAUUGGACCUCGAUUCUAAGCUGUUGGUUGCCAGAAGCGAGGUAAUGAUGAAGAGGGAUAGUUGGGGGCAUUCGUAUUUAACUGUCAGAGGUGAAAUUCUUGGAUUUGUUAAAGACGGACUACUGUGAAAGCAUCUGCCAUGGAUGUUUUCAUUGA